rnacentral:tRNA from 1 species
UAAGUUAGAGCUUGAUAAGCAUUUUAGUUACAUUAAAAAGAUAAUUGUAAAUUCAAUUUAACUUAA